rnacentral:rRNA from 1 species
AAUCAACGCUGGCGGCGUGCCUCAGACAUGCAAGUCGAACGAGAAAGUUUCCUUCGGGAGACGAGUACAGUGGCGUCCGGGUGAGUAACACGUGGGUAAUUUACCUUUGGGUGGGGAAUAGCAGCCGGAAACGGCUAUUAAUACCCGCAUAAUGCAGGCGGCUCGACAUCGAGACAGUUGUUAAAGCGGGGAUCUGACAAGGACCUCGCGCCUAAAGAGAAGCCUGCGUCA